rnacentral:rRNA from 1 species
AACGCUGGCGGCGUGCUUAACACAUGCAAGUCGAACGGAAAGGCCCUGCUUUUGUGGGGUGCUCGAGUGGCGAACGGGUGAGUAACACGUGAGUAACCUGCCCUUGACUUUGGGAUAACUUCAGGAAACUGGGGCUAAUACCGGAUAGGAGCUCCUGCUGCAUGGUGGGGGUUGGAAAGUUUCGGCGGUUGGGGAUGGACUCGCGGCUUAUCAGCUUGUUGGUGGGGUAGUGGCUUACCAAGGCUUUGACGGGUAGCCGGCCUGAGAGGGUGACCGGCCACAUUGGGACUGAGCUACGGCCCAGACUCCUACGGGAGGCAGCAGUGGGGAAUAUUGCACAAUGGGCGGAAGCCUGAUGCAGCAACGCCGCGUGCGGGAUGACGGCCUUCGGGUUGUAAACCGCUUUCGCCUGUGACGAAGCGUGAGUGACGGUAAUGGGUAAAGAAGCACCGGCUAACUACGUG